rnacentral:rRNA from 1 species
AGGGUUUGAUUAUGGCUCAGGAUGAACGCUAGCUACAGGCUUAACACAUGCAAGUCGAGGGGCAGCGAUAUCGAAAGCUUGCUUUUGAUAGGCGGCGACCGGCGCACGGGUGCGUAACGCGUAUCGAACCUACCUCAUACUCGGGAAUAGCCUUGCGAAAGUAAGAUUAAUGCCCGAUGUUUUCAACAGCCCGCAUGAGUUGUUGAACAAAGAUUUAUCGGUAUGAGAUGGCGAUGCGUCCCAUUAGUUAGUUGGCGGGGUAACGGCCCACCAAGACAUCGAUGGGUAGGGGUUCUGAGAGGAAGGUCCCCCACAUUGGAACUGAGACACGGUCCAA